GAUGAACGCUGGCGGCGUGCCUAAUACAUGCAAGUCGAGCGAACAGACGAGGAGCUUGCUCCUCUGACGUUAGCGGCGGACGGGUGAGUAACACGUGGAUAACCUACCUAUAAGACUGGGAUAACUUCGGGAAACCGGAGCUAAUACCGGAUAAUAUAUUGAACCGCAUGGUCCAAUAGUGAAAGACGGUUUUGCUGUCACUUAUAGAUGGAUCCGCGCCGCAUUAGCUAGUUGGUAAGGUAACGGCUUACCAAGGCGACGAUGCGUAGCCGACCUGAGAGGGUGAUCGGCCACACUGGAACUGAGACACGGUCCAGACUCCUACGGGAGGCAGCAGUAGGGAAUCUUCCGCAAUGGGCGAAAGCUUGACGGAGCAACGCCGCGUGAGUGAUGAAGGUCUUCGGAUCGUAAAACUCUGUUAUUAGGGAAGAACAAAUGUGUAAGUAACUAUGCACGUCUUGACGGUACCUAAUCAGAAAGCCACGGCUAACUACGUG
rnacentral:rRNA from 1 species